GGAGGGGGAAGGAAGAGAAACAAAAAACCAAAAUGCUUGGCCAGGAAUAGAGCGGAGGCCAUGUGACUGGAGCACCGUGGCUGUGGGAGAGAGGAAUGAGAGGACUUAGAAGAGGCGAGCGGAAACCAAAACACUGGGGGCUGUAGGCCAUGGUAGGUGGCUUGAUGGAAUUCCAGGAACAAAGGACAGUGGCCCAGGAGAUGCCAGCAGGAAAGCCUCGUGAUCUAAUUUGCAAUUGCAAAAGAUUUCCCUGUCUUCUGCAUGGGGAAUGAAUUAGAAUACAGCAAGAGAAGACACACAGAAACUAGUCAGAGGCCGUACUGGGGUUGACCAGGUGAGAGACGGCAGAGGCUGGCUAGGUGAUGACAGUGAAGGAGGGAGCUGUGAAUGAAUGACAUCAAGGACAUGAUUUGAAGGUGGGACUGCUAAUAGGCUGAUUAUGAGGGGUAAGAAGGAGGGAGAAAUCAAGGAUGCCAUCUCUGAUUCUGUCCUGAGCACAUGGAUUUCUACUCCCUUCUCUAUCCCCAACCUCCUCCUCUGUCAUCCACAUACCAAGAGUUUCCAGCCUCCCCAAGUCUUUGGUCAGAAAACCAGUUUUCCUGGGCAUUAGACAAGAAUUUGUCUCCAGAGUUUCCAACCAGCAGAUGUAUCUCUUCUCUUUCUGCCCCAGACUGUGGACUCCUGAAAUCUGUGAGUAUUUUGCAAGUUCCCUUGCCCAGACCACAUUCUUGAGAAGAGUGUUCCUGUGACUCUGGGCCAAAGAAAUGCUGAGAAGGUAGUCCCCUUUAAAUCACUCCCGGCACUCAAUGGGUGAAUCAGCCUCAGUUGGCAUGUGAAUUUGUCCUACUGAUUGAAAGAGUAGAAAGUUAUUCUAGAGGUCGGAACCUGGUACAGUACCUGACAAGUAAGAGGGGUUCAAGCAAUGUUUAUGGAAUACUCAGGCCCCAAGAUACAGAGGCUCUGAGACAACUGGGGACCUCAGGACAAUGGGAGAAUGGAGACCUGGAAGUGAGAUCUGUGGAGAGCGGGUCCAGCUGGAGGAAGACAGAUUUUUGCAAGAUGGUGCCCAGGAUUAAGAACAUAGUUCAGGCCAGGCACAGUGGCUCAUACCUCUAAUACCAGCACGUUGGCAGGCUGAGGCGGGUGGAUCA